GUCCAGGCUGGUUUCAAACUCCUGGAAUCAAGCGAUCUUCCUGCCUUGGCCUCCAGAAAUGCUGGGACUGCGCCUGGAAUAGAUACGGCUACCUCAGGUUGCCCCUCAUCUUCCAGCUGACACCAUCCAGCACCUUUCAGAUACUGGCAAAGGAGCAGUGUUUCAAAAUUACUUUCCAAAUGGCCUCCUACAAGGCAGUCCUCAGAGAGAAGCAAGGUUCUGCAUCUUAAACCUUCCUUGGUUUCUUAGGUUCCAAAGCUGUUUCUAUCAGUCUCCAAGCAACCAACUCUUUAGAAUUCCAUGAGUCUACUCAGAGAACUUGUGGGUUCAGUCGGGGGUAUAUCUUCAACCAUUUAUUAAAUUUCCUUCUUUGUAAACUGA